rnacentral:rRNA from 1 species
GAUGAACGCUGGCGGCGUGCUUAAUACAUGCAAGUCGAACGGAGUGUUAGCAAUAGCACUGAGUGGCGAACGGGUGAGUAACGCGUUGGUGACCUGCCCCGAAGAUUGGGAUAACAGUUCGAAAGGACUGCUAAUACCGGAUGAGAACCUGAGGAUUAGAAGCUCAGGUUGAAAGGAGCAAUCCGCUUUGGGAGGGGCCUGCGUCCCAUCAGCUAGCUGGUAAGGUAACGGCUUACCAAGGCGACGACGGGUAGGGGACCUGAGAGGGUGACCCCCCACACUGGCACUGAAACACGGGCCAGACACCUACGGGUGGCAGCAGUAGGGAAUAUUGCACAAUGGGCGCAAGCCUGAUGCAGCAACGCCGCGUGCGCGAUGAAGGCCUUCGGGUCGUAAAGCGCUUUUCUGGGAGACGAGGAAGGACGGUAUCCCAGGAAGAAGGCUCGGCUAACUACGUGCCAGCCGCCGCGGUAACAC